rnacentral:rRNA from 1 species
UACGAAGGGGGCUAGCGUUGCUCGGAAUCACUGGGCGUAAAGCGCACGUAGGCGGACUUUUAAGUCAGGGGUGAAAUCCUGGAGCUCAACUCCAGAACUGCCUUUGAUACUGGAAGUCUUGAGUUCGAGAGAGGUGAGUGGAACUGAGGGUGGAGCGGUGAAAUGCGUUGAUAUCCUCAGGAACACCGGUGGCGAAGGCGACUCACUGGGUCUUUACUGACGCUGAUGCACGAAAGCUAGGGUAGCAAACGGG